CCGUGUUAUCAGAUACUUUGGGUCUGCCAGCUCCCGGAAGCAGGGUGAACUGGAGGUACGAAUCUGGAGUGUCCAGCUGCCUUCAUUGUUGUCCCUUACUUGGAAGCAAAAACCAAAGACAACACUGGGAACACGCGGUUGACAGUUGGGAGAUACUUCCCCGGAGACACCUUUAGCGCUAAAUUCCCAGAGUCCUCCGUGCACUGGAAGUUAUUUAACUUACCUUUGAGAAAGGUUAUUCCUCAACGGACACUGUCGAUGGUUCUGUGCCUGGGACCUGUCCUAGGAAACUCUGGAAAAGUUUUGUUUAACAUCAACAAGUCACUACUGGGUCUCCUAGACUAUUAAUGUGUCUUUACCCAAACAAGAGACAAUGUGGAGCUUUUGAAAACACCAUCUUCACAAGCUUUAUGGAGGAAUAACUGACAAAUAGAACUGUAUCCAUUUGAAGUGUACAACAUGAGGAUUUGACAUGCAUAUACGUUGUGCAAUGAUUACGGAGAUCAAGAUAAUUAACACAUUUAUCACCUCACAGAGUUUAACUCUUUUUUCUUUUUGGUGGUGAGAACACUUGAGAUCUACUCAGCAAAUUGCAGACAAUCCUUUCUAAUGUCCCAGUGAUGUAGCUACUCUAGUUACCACCGAACUGCAGGUGAGUAAACUGAGGCCCAUUACAGUUGUGACAGUUGUCCAAGGUAACUGGGAGGGCUAGAAUUCAAACUCAGAUCUUUCUGACUCCUGAGAAGCAGGUCUCUGGGAUUUACUGGAUAAUAGGAUGAAGUAUAUUUGUUUAUUUUUGUUUAUGUUUUCCAUGAUACGGGC